UGAACGCUGGCGGCGUGCCUAAUACAUGCAAGUCGAGCGAACGGACGAGAAGCUUGCUUCUCUGAUGUUAGCGGCGGACGGGUGAGUAACACGUGGAUAACCUACCUAUAAGACUGGGAUAACUUCGGGAAACCGGAGCUAAUACCGGAUAAUAUUUUGAACCGCAUGGUUCACAAGUGAAAGACGGUCUUGCUGUCACUUAUAGAUGGAUCCGCGCUGCAUUAGCUAGUUGGUAAGGUAACGGCUUACCAAGGCAACGAUACAUAGCCGACCUGAGAGGGUGAUCGGCCACACUGGAACUGAGACACGGUCCAGACUCCUACGGGAGGCAGCAGUAGGGAAUCUUCCGCAAUGGGCGAAAGCCUGACGGAGCAACGCCGCGUGAGUGAUGAAGGUCUUCGGAUCGUAAAACUCUGUUAUUAGGGAAGAACAUAUGUGUAAGUAACUGUGCACAUCUUGACGGUACCUAAUCAGAAAGCCACGGCUAACUACGUG
rnacentral:rRNA from 1 species